UCGUAACAAGGUUUCCGUAGGUGAACCUGCGGAAGGAUCAUUG
rnacentral:rRNA from 269 species